UAAAUGACUCUCGGCAACGGAUAUCUCGGCUCUCGCAUCGAUGAAGAACGCAGCGAAAUGCGAUACUUGGUGUGAAUUGCAGGAUCCCGCGAACCAUCGAGUCUUUGAACGCAAGUUGCGCCCGAAGCCUUCCGGCCGAGGGCACGUCUGCCUGGGUGUCACUC
rnacentral:rRNA from 3 species